UGUAAGAGUGAAAAGAAUAAAAACAAUAAUUUGAAAACGGGGUUUCGAACUUCUCCUUCUCACUCUUACAAAAAUAAAAUGUUUUGUGAACCGGUCAACAACUUCGCGAAAAUUAGGCCUCCGAUUCAGUCGCGAGUGUUAAAACGGUUGCAGUGCGAACUGUUCGGAGAAAGCGGUCCUCAAGGUCCAGGAUGUGCUGUACAACAUCGAGACGCUUUUUCGGUUGCACCAUUCGAAACUGAAACCAUAAACCAACUUGUUCACCUCGCUUUUAGUUGGAUGCAGCAGAAGCAGACGAACCUGUAGAACAUAGCCGGCAUCAUCCGGCCGAUCACGCAAUCGGUAACACCUCUAAUUGCGCCAGCCAUCGGUCAUCAUCCGAACCCACCGCAGCAGCAAAUACCGUUCCUGGCGGCGGAUGCUAUCUCGCCGGCGUCACUGACGCGGUGGCCCAGUAGCAGCAGUUUCUGCAGAGCCUGAUGAAGAAGCUUAUUACGCUGGCGGCAAUCCUAACGCCCAACGCAGCGACCUCACUAUAGACCGCAGGAACCGAUGCCACCAAUCUGACGCCAUACGCCACCCUGCCCCAGUUUGCCUCGGCGGCAGCAGCAGCAUUCAUCACAACGCAUUUACAUAAUCCUAUGAUGGCACAAGCAGUGGCUGCGGCCGCUGGGAAGCAGAUCAAAGAUCCCGUUCGGCAUCGUGGUGUCCGCCAAGGUGUUCAUCGACAAGCAAACCAACCUGUCCAAGUGCUUCGACUUUGUGCCGUUCGACAAUAUGGCCUCGGCGCAGGCCGCCAUCCAGGCGAUGCACGGUUUCCAGAUCGGCACCAAGCGGCUGAAAGCGUAGUUGAAGCGUUCGAAGGACGUCACUGACGCGGAAGGAAAGGAUUCGUUUUCUUCAGGCAACCAUACGAGAGGUCGCCUCUAAGGUAGGAAGGCCUUGAUGCUUGAGACAAAACCACAUUUUGUCGGAUGGAUAAUUCUACCGGAAGGCAAGCUGCCGUAGGUCAUCUUGAUUUCAGACGGGUCUGAUGAAUACGAGGGAAAUAAUUUACAGCACGAAGCUACGAAAAGAAUUUCUGUAUUUUCGAUCCAUCCCGGAUUCCUUAGAGCUGCUCCAAAGCCUGAAUAGAUCCAGAACUGGCUGUUGGCCUUCGUUUUAUGCUGCUCAGGAUGAUACCAGUGGAAGUAAUCGAACAGAUCGUGAAAACAGUUCCGAUUUCCUGGUGGAGAAGGAACUCUCCCAAAAUAAUCUUGUCCGAUUCGCUAGAGAUUUCGGAGUAGCAGCACAAAUAUCCUUCCGUCUGACUUUGUAACCCGAUCGAUUGCUUCAAUGGCAAUUAUUGUAUGUAUUAUUUCUUUUUAGAUUAAUAAAAAUACGUAAUGCUACGUUUUGACAGGGCAAGUGAAUUGAACAACUCAGUUGAAUUCAAUUGACUUGCCAAAAGUUGAACAUGUUCAACUUUCUUUUCGUUCAAGUGAAUUGAAUUAAGGUGUUUACACGUUCAGUUCGCGUUCGAUUCAAGCGAAUUGCUCAAUUCACUUGCCUUGUCUAAACGUAGCAUAAAGCUUCUGCUUCC